rnacentral:tRNA from 1 species
GCUUCAUUAGUAUAUUUAGUAUAUUUGAUUUCCAAUCAAAGGGGCCUUGUUAAAAGUCAAGGAUGAAAUA